AACGAACGCUGGCGGCAUGCCUAACACAUGCAAGUCGAACGAGACCUUCGGGUCUAGUGGCGCACGGGUGCGUAACGCGUGGGAAUCUGCCCUUGGGUUCGGAAUAACAGUUAGAAAUGACUGCUAAUACCGGAUGAUGUCUUCGGACCAAAGAUUUAUCGCCCAGGGAUGAGCCCGCGUAGGAUUAGCUAGUUGGUGGGGUAAAGGCCUACCAAGGCGACGAUCCUUAGCUGGUCUGAGAGGAUGAUCAGCCACACUGGGACUGAGACACGGCCCAGACUCCUACGGGAGGCAGCAGUGGGGAAUAUUGGACAAUGGGCGAAAGCCUGAUCCAGCAAUGCCGCGUGAGUGAUGAAGGCCUUAGGGUUGUAAAGGCUCUUUUACCCGGGAUGAUAAUGACAGUACCGGGAGAAUAAGCCCCGGCUAACUCCGUGCCAGCAGCCGCGGUAAU
rnacentral:rRNA from 1 species